UACAGAGGGUGCAAGCGUUAAUCGGAAUUACUGGGCGUAAAGCGUGCGUAGACGGUUAUGUAAGUCGGGUGUGAAAGCCCCGGGCUCAACCUGGGAAUUGCGCGCGAAACGGGGGGGCUUGAGUUCGGGAGAGGAGCGUGGAAUUCCCAGUGUAGAGGUGAAAUUCGUAGAUAUUGGGAAGAACACCGGUGGCGAAGGCGGCGCUCUGGACCGAGACUGACGCUGAGGCGCGAAAGCGUGGGGAGCAAAACAGG
rnacentral:rRNA from 1 species